rnacentral:rRNA from 1 species
AUUGAACGCUGGCGGCAGGCCUAACACAUGCAAGUCGAACGAGUGGCGGACGGGUGAGUAAUGUCUGGGAAACUGCCUGAUGGAGGGGGAUAACUACUGGAAACGGUAGCUAAUACCGCAUACCAUCAGAUGUGCCCAGAUGGGAUUAGCUAGUUGGUGGGGUAACGGCUCACCAAGGCGACGAUCCCUAGCUGGUCUGAGAGGAUGACCAGCCAAACUGGAACUGAGACACGGUCCAGAGUCCUACGGUAGGCAGAAGUGGGGAAUAUUGCACAAUGGACGCAGGCCUGAUGAGACCAUGCGGCGUGUAUGAAGAGGGCCUUCGGGUUGUAAAGUACUUUCAGCGGGGAGGCGUUACCCGCAGAAGAAGCACCGGCUAACUCCGGGCCAGCAGCCGCGGUAAUAC